rnacentral:rRNA from 1 species
UACAGAGGGUGCGAGCGUUAAUCGGAAUUACUGGGCGUAAAGCGUGCGCAGGCGGUGAUGUAAGACAGAUGUGAAAUCCCCGGGCUCAACCUGGGAACUGCAUUUGUGACUGCAUCGCUGGAGUACGGCAGAGGGGGAUGGAAUUCCGCGUGUAGCAGUGAAAUGCGUAGAUAUGCGGAGGAACACCGAUGGCGAAGGCAAUCCCCUGGGCCUGUACUGACGCUCAUGCACGAAAGCGUGGGGAGCAAACAGG